AAAGAAGAUAGGCUGUGAUCUCAGCAGCUACUUGUGCUGGCAGGAGCAAGUAUCUGCCUAAAAGCAAAACCAGGAAAACAUCCAUUUGAUAUACUUUCCAAAAUGCAGCUUGAUUCAGUCAAGGUUCUUUUCAUGCUCGGCUCCUUUGUUUUAGACCUACUACUGCUUGUUUUUCGAAUUGACUAUUUGCUGCAGGAAUUUUGUUUUAAUUUAACAGGCAGCUGGAGCUUAUUAAACACGAUUUUCCGUGGUAGUAUUUUAUAUCAGUACUUGAUAAUGGGACACCUGUAAACACCCUCUAUAACAAGCACCUUUAGGCACCCAUGGAAUCCGCCUGCUGCAGUUAGCCUGGCAGGGAUGCUGGGUAACAACAGCACAGCAGCUUAAGCCCAAACUUUCUUCAAUGCGUUUUCCUCCUGCUUUCUAAUCUCUCCUGACAAUGUUGAAAGUUAUUACUUAGCUGCAUAAAGAAAACCAUCUGUCAAUUAUUUACCUGCUUGCAUGUGGGAUCAGGUACCCAGAAGCUGUUACUGCAAGCCAAGGCAAAUUCCCAGCUUCCAAGAAAGCAGAAAUCCAAUUGCAGUCAUCUGAUUCAACUGUCUAUCUGGGGAGUGAACCUGCUCUCCUCCACUACUUCCAGUUACAUACUCUUUACUCUGGAUGAAAUGGAACCCUACAACACACAGGGCUUCGAUAGAUGGCAACUUCAGUGAAAGGGAGGAAGAAAAACCAGAGCUCUGCACCAGCCAGUGAUGGGAAUGGAAACAUCUCUCUGUUCCAUCCAAAUGUAAUCUCCAGACCAGCCUUCCCUCACACUGCUCUUUCAGGCAGUGAUACGUUGGAAAGGAUUUCACAGCUUCAACUGUUUUUUCUAUGCACAGGAGAGAUUCCUGGUCUCAGCUGUGUAAAUGUUUUAACUGAGAUUCAUGCUUGGCUAUUCAGGUCACUGCUUUCUCUUCCGGCCCACACAGGCCAAAUGAAUCUAUAUAAGCAUAAAGUGUCCAAAAUCAACACAGUAUUUUUCACUUGAACACACCCAUGGCACGUGGCUAACUCAAAGUACAGGGUACAAUGCCAAGCAGUAGAUUUGUACAUUUGCCUGAUAUGAACUUAGCAUGAUUUAUAUGAAAAGAUGCAAUAGCCUUUGCAAAUCUGACUUGGCAGAAACCCCUUCCAAAGGAGGAACCCAAGGAAACCAAACUCUCCCUUCUGCCUUAAAUAAGGACUAAUCUAACAUAGGAAAUGUUCUCAAAAUAUGUAAUUUAUAUUCAGACUUACCAUG